rnacentral:rRNA from 1 species
GACAGAGGGUGCAAACGUUGUUCGGAAUUACUGGGCGUAAAGCGCGUGUAGGCUGCUCGAACAGUCGGGUGUGAAAGCCCUGGGCUCAACUCAGGAAGUGCAUUCGAUACUGCCGAGCUUGAGUCCUGGAGAGGAAGGCGGAAUUCUCGGUGUAGAGGUGAAAUUCGUAGAUAUCGAGAGGAACACCGGUGGCGAAGGCGGCCUUCUGGACAGUGACUGACGCUGAGACGCGAAAGCGUGGGGAGCAAACAGG